AUGCCAACACCCAGAGUUCUCCAAGCAGGAGUAUGCAGCGUGCCAAAUCAAGGAGGUGUCACCAACUUGUCAGUGACUAUUGAUCUGACAGCUACACAUGAGGACAAAGAGAGGCUUGACCGCUGUACAGCAUUAGGUCUGAUGUGUGAGGGCUGUCAGGUAGCCAUUCUUCAAUAUCUGGAAUUUUUCCAGCACCAGAAAGAGGAGCUGUCUGUUGUGCCAGACAGUGGGAAACAACAUGCAAGAACCACACCUACAUUAAGGUCUAGACUCUUCUGACAGUAACAUUGUGUUGAAAUGUGGCCAUCCCAUUGGCUGUGUGUUAAUUAUUCCUCUGGGCUGUGAAAUUUUGCAGAAUUGAUACUGGCUCUUAGAUGAGUAUAAUGAGCAGAUGGUCUUGUCAUUUUGGCUCAUGUAAAUUUUUAUUUAGUGACUCUUUGUAGUUUUCUGAAAUCAUUGGUGCUGGGCAUUAAAUCCAGAGCUCUCUUCAUCCUUAGCCUGUGUUUAACUGCAUUUAUACUCCACCUUGUAAAGCACAAUUUACAGUGUUUACUGGGCAACAGGUAUUGAGCUCAGGGCUGACUUGGAAUGCAGGGUGUGGAUGUGUUGGGCAAAGUUUUGUUCUCUUGGAAGGUAGUGGUAGGGAAAGAUACUGUGUUCUUACAAGGAAGAUUCAAGGAGGGUAGGCUGUGAUGGGAGUCCACACUAAGGUGACUUACUAUUUUUGGCCUCUUAACAUUGUAUUCUUGUGGAAAAUCAGAGAAACAUCUCCCCAAAGAGACUCAUUUGUGUAUUGAGUAUGGAAAUGUCAGUACUGAAGGCAAAUAUCUGUCAGUUGUUUAGUGUUUUAAAGUAGGUUCUGAGGUUUAGAAAAAAUGAUGUGCACUUGGUUGGGCUUCAGCUGCAUCCUCUAAACCUGGGUCCUGAGCAUGGGGACUUCCAGAUAUAGGGCAAGGUAAGUGAGGGCAGAUAAAAAUUGAGAAAGUGUGUGUGAAGUUGUCAGUGAACUUGACAAAUUUUCAUACACUUGUCAGUACUCAUUAGUGUCAGAUGUUUGAGAGUGGAGGACACAUAAGAUGGGAUACCUAUAGGUUACAAAUUUUUCUGUCAACCAGCAUCCAAUAACAGUGUGUGUGGGGGAAUGCCAUUUUUAACUGAAAAGAUAAUAAUCAUUCACUUUCUUUUUGUUUGCUUUUCAGAAAUUCCUUCAGACAUUAUAUCACUGUAUUUCUUCAGCAUCUUUCAUUCCAGUGAUGCCCAUAAGCCUACGUUGGCCUUU
rnacentral:lncRNA from 1 species